rnacentral:lncRNA from 10 species
AGGAGCGGCCUGGCUUUGUCUGAGUCAGGCAGCCCAGCGUGUGGGAUGCCAGGCUGGAUGUGCUGGGCCUGACCAGCCGCCCGCUUUCCUCUUCUCUUGCCUCUGCCUGCCCCCUGGUGGACAGCUGGGGUAAAGCAUGGGAGUGCGCCUUUGGGGUCUCAGUGGGGCUGAAAUACGACUCCUCCCCUAGGACAGCCUGCCUUCCCCAGCCUUGUUCUCCGGCAAAGUCAAUUUCCUGGAGAAUCGAGGCUCUGCCUCAGAUGUUCGGAGCCUCCGCAGGAUGAACACCUCCAUUUCAAUUCCAGGGGCUUUGAUCAACCUGUGCCUCCCUUGAUCCCCAACUUGUGGGCACCUUCCCUUGAGCAGUGCCCCCACGAGGUACACCUUUCCCGGGAAACAAAAAUCAUUCCUUCUUUGGGUCCUGCAAGCUGUAAAGAACCAAUACAGCACUGUGCUACUGAACAUGUUGCCACUAUAGAAGCCCCUUGUGUUUUGAAGAGUACAUCUCUAUAGCCAUUCGUUUAUUCAUCAGAAACCAGCUAGAAGCCAGGCCCUGUGCUGGGCGCUGGAGACAUGGAAGAAACUGGGCUGAGGCUCCCGCCUUGAAGAGCUUGUGGCCCAGGGAAGGGACAGUUCAUCUGUCAUUGAUUGCCACGUGACAGUGUCUAUGAUGCUAAAAAGAUGCCAGUGCUGUGCUGCAGGAGCAAAGGCCGUGGAGGAAGAGGCUUUGGCUUUGUUGCGAGUCCUUGCCAGAGCCAGGCAAAGCCAGUCACCGCUUUGUUCAGAUGACUCAGGUAAAUAAAUGAGGCCGCACAGGCUGUCCUGACACCACACACCUCUAGAAUACCCUGGCUGUGCUGGGAGCUAUUGGUGUCAGCUGAGUAUUUUCAUCCCUGUCCAAGUCACAAUGAUCUGACUGUACCAGCCUGUGUGGAUGUUGCUAAGAGGAGGCAGACAGCACCAUGAGAGUCCCAUGCACUGGCGAGCUUCCUGGGGACAAGGGCAGUGCCUUGAUCACCUCUCUUCCUCGUGCAGUAAAUGUUUGUUGGAUGAAUGGUUGUCAACUCUAGUCCUGUCAGUCCUCCCUGAGCCCUGAAACAGAAAUUAGGAAAUAAUAACAAUUAGCAGGUCCUAUACUCCUAGAUUUAAGAUUUUUGAACAAAUAAGGGAAAAUUAUUUGCCUGCUACAAAACUGCUAAGAGAGAUGACAAUGAAGGAAGGGUGGGAAUCAUCUAAGGGAAAGAAGAGGGGAAUCAAUUGCUCCACCAGUGGCUUGCUGAAAAGCUUUCCACACUUGUAGAAAAAAAUCCCCCACCGCCAAGAGUAGAGGCCCCAGCAAGGGCAGUCACAGCAAUGGUGGCCGUCAGGUGCCCUAUGCAGCAGAGUGGAGCCAUGGGCAGCAAGUAGAUCAUGCUGGGAUAAAGGCUGUGGGGGCUGUGCUAGGGAUGGCAGUAACACAUGGAGACUCUCAGUAAGGGGGCCUGAGGUGUCAUCCACCCCCAACUCGACCAUUCCUCCCCUCCCCAGAGAAAAGCCAGCAUCAGCAUCUAAGGGAGGGAGGGCUAGUGUGGCUGGAUGGGGUGGCAGGGGUAGGAGGCACAGCCAAAGGCUCUGGAAAUCAGCUUGAAAUCUUAGGUUUUCCCUGAGGCUGCUAUAGCUUGGGGGAAUGGAGUUACAUCUAACUGUAAAUGUUGUUCACACUCAGUCUAAAGAAAGUCCAAAAGUCAUUUUAGGAUGGUGGUGUACUUCAAAUUACUUUUCUAUGCCCCAGUUUUGGGUUCCAUUAAAUUCUCAUUCUUCCCGCAUUUCUGUUUUUCCUCCAGGUACCCUCAAAGAGCACCCAUAAUUCAUUCAUUCAUUCAUUCAUUCACUUAUUCAACAAAUACUGAUUGAAUCCCUGCUCUUUACCAGGCUAUGCUAGGUACCAAGAAUAUAGGGUCAGCAAAGGCAGGCAUGGUCCCUGCCUUCAAAAGGAGAGGACCUUGAUCAAACACACACACAAGUUAACAUCAUUGCAAUGUGUGGGGUCCUGGGUAUAUAAUGAGGGGAUUUGGUUAAUAAGGGACGUCAGGGAAAUCUCUGAGGAAAUGAUGAGUGAAAUAAAAUCUGAAGGAACAAUAAGAUUAACUAAGCCCAGUGGGUCCUGGGCAACCCCUAGAGUGGGGCUGCACAUGUGUAUUCAAGGCCAUGAAAGAUGGCAAGUGUGACCUGAGUGCAGACAGCAAGGAGGUGAGAUUCUCAAUCAGGCUGGGGAAGGCCAUGCACGGGGAGCCACUGAAGUGUUGAAGUGGCCAGGUGAUGUGAUCCAAUGUGCAUUUCAGAAAGAGUUUGAUCUCCCUGUGGAGAACAACUUGGAAAACGUCAUAACUAAAUGUCAUUAGACCAGUUAGGAAGCUAUUUGCUGCAGGUGAAUUGGGGUCCAAGAGAGGAACAAUGGAGGGGAAAAUGAUGAUGGGGUAGAUAGGCUUACAACAUAUUCCACUCCUGAAAGAUCUUCCAACAGCCUUGCCCUGCAAUGAGCCCUUCCCUUCAUGGGCUAGAUCACCAUCUGAGAGAAAAGCACAACCUUCCUUUCCUUCAGCUUUGUCCCUAAGGAUGUCUCUUUAACUUGUCCCUUGGGAUGCCUUCAUGGUUUCUUUCUAGCUUGCUCAAAAAAUGAAGUAAAGCAUGUCCAUGAUACCUGGGACAUAUCAACUUCAAGGUCAUGGAUUGAAAUGAUGAUAACUCAAAUUAUAGGACUGUCAACUUUCAAGCCCCCCUGACCUUAAGUGAUGGAUCAAGGGGCUGGAAUCAGAUCAAGAGAGCUUCAAACCACUGCUGGCUGCUAGAGCAUUCAAUCUGCUGACUGGAUGCUUAAUAUAAUAUAUAAUAUAAUAUAUAAUAUAAUAUUGGAAUAUAUAUAUAUGUGCAUAUAUAUGUGUGUGUGUGUGUGUGUGUGUGUGUGUGUGUAUAGUCCAAUUACCCAAAGUGGUCUUCUUCCAAACAUUUUGAGGAUGCUGUAAUAAGAUCCCUGCAUCAGGUGAAAGUGGAACUAGUUACCAGAUGUUCUCUUCUGCCUGGGAUCCCUGCUCCUGCAAGACAGUCAGUAAUCCGUUCCAAGAAUGAUGUUUUACCAUGGUGCUGUGCUAGGCACCAGGGAUUGGAAGAUGAAGAAACAUUUCCUGUGCUCCUGGAGCUGCAGCCUAGCAGGCCUACCAAUAAGGACAGCGCCAUGGGAUAUGCUGCAGCACAGGCGGAAGCAAAGCGCUGUGGAGACCCCAAGGCCAGAUAUAGGAGCUCUGCCUGGCUGAGUUAGGAAGGUUCUCCAGAGGUCACAUCUGAUCCAGGUGUCAAGGGAUGAGCAGGAAUUUAUCUUGUGAAGAAGAGGUGGCUGGUUGUUUCAGCAAAAGAAAUAGCUCCUAAAAAGACACCUGAGAGUAAGAUGUGCCCCAAAAGUGUCCCCAGGGGUGAUAGAGAGGCUGUAGCAGGAGGUAAGUCUGGAGACAGAAUUCUGGUGGGGUUACUGGAGCAGGAGGGUCUGUCUGCUUUAGGGAAUAUACUGUGUUAGUUUUCUAUUGCUGCAUAGCAAAUGACCCCAAAACUGAGACGCUUAAAACAGUCAACAUGUGUUAUCGUAUAGUUUUCAUGGGUCAGGAACACAGUUGUAACUUAGCAGUCCUCUGGCUCAGGGUCUCACAGGCUGUAAUCAAGGUGUCAGCCAGGACCAAAGGCAACUCAAAGUUCUACCAAAGGAGGGUGAACUUCCAGGUUCACUCCUGUGGCUGCUGGCUGGAGACAUCAGUUCCUUGCCACAUAGGCCUCUCCACGGGGCAGGUCCCAACAUGGCAGUUGGCUUAGAGAGAGACUUUUUGUAACCCAAUCUUGGAAGUGACAUCCCAUCACUUUUGCUGUAUUCAAUUUGUUUAAAGCCAAGCACCAGGUCCAUCCAGCCCACGCUGAAGAAGAGGUUACAUGAGACAGAGAAUACCAGGAAGUGAUGAUUACUGGGGGCUGUUUUAGAGGCUGCCUACGGCAUAUACCAAGAGCUAUUUAUGGCCUCAUUGCAGCAUUAUCCCACUCUGCAUAAAUUAUAGAGAAAGACAUAUAAUUUUAUUGCAUAUUAGUUUUUGUUGAUGGGUACAUUCUGGUCCCUAGGAGCCCUGAAGAACAAUGUGCUUCAUUUCACAGCUCUCCCUAAGGAUUUUAUACAACCCACUUGGCACUCACACUGUUAUUAUUAAAUGGAUUCAGCCAAAAGCUGCCUGUGGGGGUAGAGAUCGGUGGGAAGGUAGGGCGGCAGAGAAAGGAAGUGCUCAGGACCCCAAAUUGAAUAAAGAAAAAGGUCACACGCCAACUGCAAGUUAGAAAUGAAUCUGAGUGAAAGUAAGUAUCCUGGUUGACAGCUCACACAUGAUGCCAACUUGCCACAGCUUGGCAGCGCCUUUGGUUUUCCCACAUGCAACUGAAAAUAGCUAGCAUUCAUCCUGAGAGAGUGCUACUAAAAUAAGUAACUACUUGGAGCUAUACCUCACUGCUCAUUCAAGCUGGAAGCUGUGUGCAAUUAUUUUGCUGAAAUUAGAUACAAAUUAAGUUGCCACUUCCGGAACUCUUUCUCCUGUGCUAUAUUACAAAAAAGAAAGUGAUUUUUGAACUCGGAUAGCUUAGAUGUUGCUUCUUAAAAAUAAAUGUAAUCUCUUGACAGAAUAUCUAAAAAGACAGAUUAUUGAUUUUAAUCUCUCAGGAGACCUAACCUCUUCACGAUCCAGGUUUCCUGAUUUUCAGACCUGAGUUAAGUUGCUAUGGAUACAGAGUGACAGGCCAGUGAAGGAAACUGGGGACAGGGAGUGGCCUGCCCACAGGUGAGAUAUACUGUCUUUAAGCUUGUUAGGGAUAGAAAAGGGGGCUAGCCUAGAAUUGUCCUCUGGGACAUAAGGUAAUGGUCCUGCUCCCACUUUUUAAACAGUGGUUUGAAAGUUUUCUCAGGGUGUGCAUACAUUUGGACGUACAAGUUCUGCUACGUUUUAAAAAGCAAAACAGAAUAAACAAACAUAUAUGAAAACAAACAAUAAUAAUGAUAAUCUGGGGCUUUCCUCAAACUUGGCUGGAAGUUACUGGCACACAAAUAGUAGAGGUGUUUGGGGGUUUUCUGCUAUGAAGGAGUCCUUGAUUUGUACUAUCUCAAUAAAGCAACCUUCUUUUGACCUGCCUUUGGAAGAAGUAGGUGAAUUUCUAAGAGCCCAGCUGUGCUGGACCCUAGGAGGCUGUCAAGACUCCCAGGGUAGGAAUGUUCCUCCACAACUUUGAAUUUCAAUUUCCCUUUACAAAAGGCAAAAUUUGUUUUAUUCCCCAUUGUUGGAGACAUUAGUCAUGGAUGAAACAAAUUUAAAACUCCCCCUAUGCCCUGCUUCUUGCCCACCCCACACAUUCCCACUCUAUAUCCUCAUUCCAAUCUAGUGAAUCUUAGAAAUGACACAUUGAAUGAAGAGCUUUGCAGGUAACCUUCCCUUCCUAAUGAAGUUUCCUUUUUGCGGGGUUUUGGUGUGUGUGUGUGUGUGUGUUUGUAGUUCCAUAAUUCUCAAAUGAAAAAUUGCUAAAAGGUCAUCUAUACAAAUCCUUAAGAUGGUGAACCUCUACAACCUUACUUUAAUUUUAGGAGAUAUUUCAUUUCAUGCCUUAAGUUUUGCAAUUAUUUUCAGUGUCUCCUUUUCCAGACUUCUUAGAGGACUUGGAAAGAAAAUGAAAUGACGUUGAACGAAAUCAAAGUAAAUUGAGUGAUCUGAAACGAUUUGAUGUCAGCAAGAAUUCCCCAUACAGCUCACAGCCCUACCCCGAGCACGCCUCCCUCUUGGGUAUGGUGAGUUCAGCUCCAAAUUUAUUCUGACAAGAAAGCACAGGCAAUGGCUUCAGUGGGUCUAAAUCAGGUGAAAAUUCAAAGCAAUCACCCUUCCUGGACAAUCUUCUGCUUUCUCAGUGCUUAUCAUGGUCUGAAAAUUCCUAUUUAAAGAAGCAGAGCUUUCUUUUAAGUCCUAACAGAACAAAGUCACACUCAACAGUGCACAGGCACACGCCGGGAUCGAGAAUGCAUUUUUGGCAAAAAGUCUCCUCUUUUCUCUGUCUCCUCCAGCUCUCUGCAGGCCCAAACCUUGCAGAAGCCAUUCCAUGUUUCCUGAGCAGGAAAAGACAAACUCAGACCGACAACCUUGGACUUCAAAAGACUGCACACAAGGGGAGGAAGGACUGAGAGUACCAAGGCGUGAGAAUUCAGAAUGCUGCUAUCUCAUUUAUUUUUACCAUUUAGGAAACGUUUUGAUCUGCAUUCCUUUUCCCUUCCCUGAUUUCAAAAAAUAAAAAUAAAAAUGCUUCGGUUCUGAGGA